GGCUGACUCUGAGUCCAUCUUCCAGUGCAGUGUUGGAUGGUUGAAGUACGAAGCUCCUAACACUGUCUGGUAAAGAUGGCCCCCGGGUCAGUUC
rnacentral:pre_miRNA from 1 species